rnacentral:piRNA from 1 species
UGAUGUCCGAACUCUGCGCAGACUCU